rnacentral:rRNA from 1 species
ACGGAGGAUCCGAGCGUUAUCCGGAUUUAUUGGGUUUAAAGGGUGCGUAGGCUGGUUUUUAAGUCAGCUGUGAAAUACCGACGCUUACCGUCGGCACUGCAGUUGAAACUGGGAACCUUGAGAGUGCAAGAGGCAUGCGGAAUUCAUGGUGUAGCGGUGAAAUGCAUAGAUAUCAUGAAGAACCCCGAUUGCGAAAGCAGCAUGCUGGGGCAUAUCUGACGCUGAGUCACGAAAGUGCGGGUAUCAAACAG